UGCGUAGGCGGUGCUCCAAGUCUGUUGUGAAAUCUCCCGGCUUAACUGGGAGGGUGCAGCGGAAACUAGAGUGCUAGAGGGUGGGAGAGGUAAGCGGAAUUCCUGGUGUAGCGGUGAAAUGCGUAGAUAUCAGGAGGAACACCUGUGGUGUAGACAGCUUACUGGACCACUUCUGACGCUGAGGCACGAAAGCGUGGGUAGCAAACAGGAUUAGAUACCCUGGUAGUCCACGCCCUAAACGAUGCAUACUUGGUGUGAGCGAUUCAUUUCGUUCGUGCCGGAGCUAACGCGUUAAGUAUGCCGCCUGGGGAGUACGGUCGCAAGGCUGAA
rnacentral:rRNA from 1 species